UACGUAGGGUGCAAGCGUUGUCCGGAAUUAUUGGGCGUAAAGAGCUCGUAGGCGGUUUGUCGCGUCUGCUGUGAAAUCUGGGGGCUCAACCCCCAGCCUGCAGUGGGUACGGGCAGACUAGAGUGCGGUAGGGGAGAUUGGAAUUCCUGGUGUAGCGGUGAAAUGCGCAGAUAUCAGGAGGAACACCGAUGGCGAAGGCAGGUCUCUGGGCUGUAACUGACGCUGAGGAGCGAAAGCGUGGGGAGCGAACAGG
rnacentral:rRNA from 1 species